CCUCAGCUUCCUGAGUAGCUGGGACUACAGUACCAGAGAUGUCUCCAAGAGCACCAGCAACCCCAGCUAUCUGGAUCUGAAGUGGAUAUGCUCAGAGACAUCCUGGCCCACCCCAAAGAAGAUGCUGCUGCACUCAGAAGACGCCAGAGCUAGCCACCACCCACACUGCAAGUCUGGAAGCUCUGCAAGGACCCAGCAAGGCAGCCUGCUCAGCGAAGGCUUUGUCUCCUGUGGCAGGAAGAGCAACAUUAAGAACAAGAACCCCGGGCUGGACUACCCCUGAGAUUUAAUGACCAGAGCUGAGACCCCCAAGACCACAAUGACUAUGGAGGGCUGUCAUUACCCUGCCUGACCCUCUAAUGCCUCUCAGUUCAAGGAGGCCACUGAGUGAAACUGAAGGCUGGUUUUCCUUGGAAGCCAGCGGCCCAUCCACCUGCUCCACUUCCCUGCCUCUUGCAGCCUCCGCUCAAACACUGUCGUGGCUUGGCAGCACUACAAGGCAGAGUGAAAACAGAUACUUCUACCCACAUUCCUAUCUCCUCUCAUUUACGCAGAUUAAAUGCUUUCUUUCCUUGUUUUACACUGCUAGGAUUUUCAUCACCCUGUUUUUUCUUUCUCUACAUCAGCUACAAGAAAAAAAAAAGGAGUUACUGAGCAACUAAGAAGUCACAACUGUUUUCAGUUUUAUUAAUGAGUUGUUAUACUUAUUUUAUAGAUAGAGAAUUACCAUUAUAACAUUGCUCCAUUGCCCACUCAUCCAUUCACGCAUCUGUCCAUCCGUCCAUCCACCCAUUUGUCCACUCCCCAAAUGGUCAUCAAUUGUCUACUGUGAGCCAAGCAAAGUGCUCCUUACUUUGGACUCUGAAUCCAGUGCUCUUUCUACUUCACCAUAGACACAUGCCCCUUGAGUAUAAGGGAGCUUGAUUCAUUCAACAAAUAUCUGUUGUCCAUCUCCAAUGUACUGGCAUAUUCUAAAUGCAUCCAACAAAAACCAAAAUGAAAAAAAAGAAAAACCCAUUCCUUCAAGGGGAUUGCAUUCGGACUGGGGGAGACAGAUAAAAUAAAAAUAAUGAAGUCAAAUAUAUAUGUUAGUGACAUGUGCCAUGAAGAAUAAUGCCCAAUAGUAUUUCAGGGGCUGCCAAGCUGCUCUCCUGUUUCCUCUUCCUUGGGGCUGAUUGCAUCCCAUGAUGUGCCCAGGUUUUGAGAUGCUCCUCGUGAAUGAAAAUAGGACUGUCUGGUUCCUCCAUCCAUAGCAAGGGAGCCUAGACAGAAAUAACUUCUGUGCAUUUCUCCAGCUACAUUUAGCUGAAAAUAUGUCUACGUGAGGUUAACUGUAUUUACCCAAUGCCAGAUACCUGAAAGAGUGUGAAAAAUUAAGGGAAAACUAGAAAAUACAGAAAUAUAUCAAGAAGAAAAAAAAUUUAAAAAUGACCCAAAAUCCCACCAACCAGAGACAGCUAUUAAUGAUUGUGGUAUAUUUAUUGUAAGUCUCUUUAUUUCUGUCUUCAUGCAAACACAUUUUUAAAGAAUGGACACUGGUAUUAUAUUGUUUAUACAACUCUAAAUGCUGCUUUUUCACUUAUUACAAUUAGGACUUUUUUCAUGUUAAUAAAUACUUCCUGAAAACAUAA
rnacentral:lncRNA from 1 species